GGGGUUGUGGCUCAGUGGAAGAGCACUUGCCUAGCAUGUAUGAGGCACUAGGUUCAAUUCUCAGCACCA
rnacentral:tRNA from 1 species